GUUGAAACUACAAACUUUUUCUCCAUGUGCAUGGUGUAUGUAGAAGCUACAACUUUUACUCUCCACAUAUUUGUUCAGUCAACAUUUCUCAAAAUGGGUUUCCCAAGUGACUCUACAAACCAUCCCUAAAUAAUAAAAUAAAAUAAAAUAAAAAAAACACCACACAAACAAACAAACAGCUGACUCAUCCCUGAUUACUGAAGACUGCAGUUGGACUCCCGACCCCUCAAGUGCUUAACUAAUCUGCAUUAAAUGUUUACAUUACAGUAUCCAAAGCAGGUUAUUUUCCUGUUUAUAAUAUUUAACUUUAAAAAAGAACCACAGCAUGGAGGAAAUAUUCAAAUCUGAAAGACAUAAGGUCCUGAAAGUUGGAGUUUCUCUUAUGCUUCUGAUGGUCAUUGCUCAUGCCCACCAGGUGGAGGCGCUGCUGGUCAAACAAACACAGUUGCUCUGUACAGGUGCGGAUGAAACAAGAAUGAUGAGUUGUUGUGUUGAAGAUGUUGUAACCGGUACAAACACUACAGUUGACUGUAUAAAUUUUGGUUAGUCGUUUGUAUAAGCUGAUAAACAGUUGGGUCUGUGGUCUUCAGCAGGGGUCCGGCUGUUUCUCCACGAUGACAUCUCGUGCGUAAACCUCUCUGACACAGGAUCCGUGUCUGUCGCCGGGUGCGGUGGCGCGCGCCUGUAAUCCAAGUCCCCGGGAGGCUGAGUCUGGAGGAUCGUUUGAGUUCAGGAGCUCUGAGCUGCAGCGGACUAUGUCGAUCGGGUGUCCGCACUAAGUUCGGUAUCGAUAUGCUGAUCCUGGGGGAGCCCGGAACCAGCAGGUCGUCUAAGGAGGGGUGAACCGGCCCAGAUCGGAAACGGAGCAGGUCAAAGCCCUCGUGCCGCUCAGUAGUGGGUUCGCGCCCGUGAAUAGACGCUGUAGUCCAGCCUGAGUGAUACAGCGAGACUCAGACUUUUUACACGGACAAAUAAACACACACAGCAUCUACAACAAAGUUUCGACAUGUUCAAAGAUCUUUAGCUCUGAUUAAGCUGCUUCCUUUCUAUCCACACCUGCACAGAGAAAGCAGCUGUGUGAGUUUGACCUGCAGCGCCUCCACCUGGAGGACACGAGCAACGACCACCACAGCAGUAUUUUUACUGGGACAGAGCACACCUGUUUCUUUAACUUAAUUCUUUAAGUUUGCAGCUCAACCACAAAUUCCAGUCGUGUGCUGUAAUAUAAAUUUGCCGGAAUUAAAAUAGUGUAUACAUCUCAUCUGUAUCUCCAAGGUAGUUAAUUAUUAUUAUUAUUAUUCAACCUUUAUUUUACUGGGAAUAUUUCCAACAAGAUCCAACAAGUAUUUUCUUAACCAGAAAAAGCAUUUGUCAUGAGUGUAGGACAUAUCACAAGAUAGUUCACAGGACAUGACAUAACAUAAAUAACAGACUGUAUUAUACUGUAUUAUAUAUACUUUUAGCUGUGCUACCUUUUAAGUAUAAAAAUGAUACACCAGUUUUACAGAAAGUGUUGGGUUAAAAGGAGUAAAAAGUGAUUUUAAAAAAAGGUUAAGUUAAUGAGAAGAUUGUUUCAGUGCUUACAUUUGUUUCUGGUUUUUGCCAUCUAGUGGCUGUUGUCCGUUAUUUUUUUCUCAGUGUUGUGAGGCACAGUUAGUGGAGAGAUUGGCACACAAUUGUUGUAGUAUUGUGUUUUUAUAUGAUUUUGAUUUGUGUUAUAGAAUUAUAUAUGGAUAGAACUAUGUAUUAUUCUUCAGGCAUCCUUUUUGACACCUAUGGAAAGGAUCAAAAAC
rnacentral:lncRNA from 1 species